rnacentral:rRNA from 1 species
AACGAACGCCGGCGGCAUGCCUAACACAUGCAAGUCGAACGAGACCUUCGGGUCUAGUGGCGCACGGGUGCGUAACGCGUGGGAACCUGCCCUUAGGUUCGGAAUAACUCCCCGAAAGGGGUGCUAAUACCGGAUAAUGUCUUCGGACCAAAGAUUUAUCGCCUUUGGAUGGGCCCGCGUUGGAUUAGCUAGUUGGUAGGGUAAAAGCCUACCAAGGCGACGAUCCAUAGCUGGUCUGAGAGGAUGAUCAGCCACACUGGGACUGAGACACGGCCCAGACUCCGACGGGAGGCAGCAGUGGGGAAUAUUGGACAAUGGGCGAAAGCCUGAUCCAGCAAUGCCGCGUGAGUGAUGAAGGCCUUAGGGUUGUAAAGCUCUUUUACCCGGGAUGAUAAUGACAGUACCGGGAGAAUAAGCUCCGGCGACUCCGUG